AUCGCUUCUCAGCCUUUUGGCUAAGAUCAAGUGUAUUAGUGUUAGCAUGGCAUAUGGUUUUCAUCCUUUUACUUUUGACCUAUAUUUAAAUUGUAUUUUUGUAGGCAGCAUAUAACUGAGUCUUGAUUUUUUAUCCACUAGGGUAAUCUUUGCCUUUUUACUAGAGUGAACAAUUUACAUUUUGU